UACGGGGGGGGCAAGCGUUGUUCGGAAUUACUGGGCGUAAAGGGCUCGUAGGCGGCCAACUAAGUCAGACGUGAAAUCCCCAGGCUCAACCUGGGAACUGCGUCUGAUACUGGAUGGCUUGAAUGCGGGAGAGGGAUGUAGAAUUCCAGGUGUAGCGGUGAAAUGCGUAGAUAUCUGGAGGAAUACCGGUGGCGAAGGCGGCAUCCUGGACCGACAUUGACGCUGAGGCGCGAAAGCUAGGGUAGCAAACGGG
rnacentral:rRNA from 1 species